GGGUCGGUAGUGUUAACGGUCAGCAUGCUCCUCUUGACACGGAGUGGCGCGGGUUCAACUCCCGUCCGGUCCACUA
rnacentral:tRNA from 3 species